rnacentral:lncRNA from 1 species
AUUUAUUCCUUCACCUGGUAAAUUUGGGGAAAAGGGGCUGGACGGAACCAAAGCAAAGAAAGUAAAAGUUAGAGCCCCCUCUCUUAACUUACCUGCCUACCCACUACUUACCUAAUAUUUCAGCAACACCUGGUGCGCUAACCAAAAUACAGGGGGUGGUCCACCUAGGUCUUACCUAGUGUGCACAGACAGUAAAUACUACGGUUAUGUAUGCCCACAGGCCUCUUGCCUAAGCAUUCCCUCGGUGCCUUCCCCUUCCCCCCUGGGAACAAAUGAAAAAGAAUACAAACAUAAGUAAACCAUUUCAAUAAUCAAAAACACUGCCUCCUAUGGGGACACACAUACCUUAGAAGCAGCGGCUACAAAAUACUUAACAAAAACCUGUCUCUGAGCAACAACCAACACAGGACAUAACCAUCAGCUCCCUCUCAGCAACAACCAACACAGGACAUACUAAUAAGCGCUCUGUCUGCGCAACAAACACAGAUCAUAACCAUCAGCUUUCUCUCAGCAAAGGAACACUGUUUUUUCUAGCUGGAGAAGGAGUCUGUAAUGGGAUACAGCUGUAUCCUCUGAUGAGAGGGCGGGGUCAGCUCCAAUUAACAUUGGGGCUGACCAAUCAGCUGCUUGGGGGAAUCCAGGAAGCCAUUUCCUGAAACACACACAUACAAACAAAACCACAACACAGAAACUGGGGAACGUAACACACCUUUUCAUGAUCUGUAGGCAUCACGAGAAAAUGUGUUCGAGAGCCUUUAUGGACGAAAGAAAAAGAAAAGUGAUUUGAUGAAUUCUGAAAAUUGCCACAUUCAGUUCUUCAACCCAUGGUAAUGUUGGUAGAUUAGUGUACAUAGAAUUAAAAAAGGGAGAAUAGUUUACAAUACCCUGGUCUAUUGCCCGCAUGGAACUAUGUGACCAUGGAAUUAUGAUGACAAGGUCAAGUAUUGCGCCAAGGUUGGCAGCCGUCGCAGUGGGAUGCACUGCUGCAGAGGAAGAAAAAAACAGUCAAUGUGCUGCUGUUUAUGCUGUUAUGAGUUCAAUUAAAGUUCAAGAACAGACUACUGUAAAUGGAGGAGCAAAACCCAGCUUUGCCAUAUUGGACCUCUUUCAAGCCCCAUUUGAUGGCAACGUUGAGAGCCUUACCUGCAUGUGAGUCGGCUCUUACGAUUCAUUCCCUCUUGACCCUCAAAUACUCUGAGCUCCUCUGGAGUCAAGAUCCCAGGACAUCAAAGAGAAAAGUCUUACUUCAUGUCAGACACACACAUACAAACCCCACUAUGACAAUUUACACACAAUGGGACGAUCUGAAGGGCACCAUUCUGUGCUGUUCUCCUCAUUCCGGUUUGGAUGGGAAUUUACAUAAAAUGCAUUGUCAUGUGCAACUGCACAAUUUCAAGCAAUGACAGUCUACCAGAGAGAGAUGGAGGGAAAACAAGUAGGAGAAAAUUAGAUGGAUAAAGGUGAAGUGGUGAAACAGAAUGGCUGUUAAAACAGUGAAAUAGACAAUAGAACUAAUAGGCGCUGGCAGGGUGAAAAAUGCCCUAAAAUAAGGCCUGUUUUUUGCUAUUACUGAAACUAUGGCAAGCAGCUGGGACAUAUGGUGAUAUUAUGAAACGGGUCUCCAAGGCGGAUGCAAUUAACUAGUUUUCAUCGGAAAAAAAGUAUUGUUAAAAAUGUAAUGUGUCCAGCCUACCUAUGGAGAUAAAUGUUUUCGAGUUGGCUAGCUAACAUCAUGCACAAAACAAAUUAUGCUAACCUUAGCAACAUUGCUAGUUAACGUUCCAAGUUGCGCCUUCAAAGUAGAAGUUCUGAUCUUUCUGGAUCACGGAGAAAACUCAGUUUUCGUUGCGACUGAGGCUGAGCAUCUCCAAAGCAGAACAACCUCCUAUGUUUGUUUACUUUUUGUAUUGUCAUCAUCAAAUGGCUAAAUUAUCCACCAAGAUGCGAUAAAUACAAAUUUGGCUCACCAGAAACAAACAGUAAACAACAAACCAACAACCAUCCCACUUUGAGGUGCGGAACUUAACGGUCUGCGCAAUUUGAUACGCGCUAGUAGUAUUGUGCAGUCAUGGGACCAGCUCAUCGCGAAGUCGUUACUAGUUACCACAUCCACAAAGUCAUAAUUAUAUCUAAACCCCACCUAUUUGUACACUUUUUCUACUUAAAAUCGUAUUUUAAUCCUAUCCUUAACCACACUGCUAACCUUAGGCAUAACCCUAAAUUAAGACCAACAAACACAUUUUGGUUUUCUUUCAUAUAGCCUAGUUUUACUUUGUGGCUGUCGUAACUAGUGACAACCCAUCACGAGCUCCAAAAGUAAAAAUGUCCGUAAUACUGUGGCUGUUUUAUAACUAAUUAAGGAUUAAUUGAACGAAAAGGUGUUACAUUUGGUGUUGUCCCUGCUGCUGGGAGCGUCGAGGACUAUUGGGGAACCUGAAGCAGAUACAAUAAAGUUCCUCCCUGGGCUUCAAAAGCAGCCUAACUUCAAACAGUACUCAGGAUACUUCAAUGUGGCUGACAACAAACCACCUCACUACUGGUGAGUUGCUAACGUUAGCUGGGGUCAUUCCUACAAUGCUGAGCCUUUUCUAUCCCCAGGAAAUAUCACUUCUUAUUUAGUGUAAAAUGUUGAUUCCAAAAGGCUUUAAAUAUAAGGUCAAUAUAAGGUUAGGAGUCCUUUACCUUAAAAACACAAAAAUAUGCAUCUUGAAAGGAUGUUUUAUGCGUUUUGAACACAUUUUCAGUGGAUGUAGGCAUUUUUUCCAUGGCCCCUGAUGUUAUUCAUCAACUUCCACAAGAAAUAUAAGCCAUUAUAAUAACAUUUUAAAUCUUCAUUAUUUUCUAGUCCUAUUUAUAUUUUCUCUUGUUAAUAACGCUUUAUUCAUGAUUAUUUUAUUUAAGAUUUUCGGUGUGUCCCUGAUAACACUUUUCACCCUGUUAACGUCAGUUUGUUGUAAUUCUCAAUUUAAAGAAAACAACCCUUUCCUACAAUGGCAUUCAAUAAGCUUCGCAAUUUCUUUGGUGGGAAAACAUAUUAACACUCAGUUGUAUCUAUUUUUCCAUGUUUUAUGUUUUAUCUGGGUUCAAUCCCCGGCAUCUCCACUCUUUUUAGGGGCUCCAGAGUGGCGCAGUGGUCUAAGGCACAGCAUCUCAGUGCUAGAGGUGUCACUACAGACCCUGGUUCGAUUCCAGGCUGUAUGGGGAGUCCCAUAGGUUGGAGCACAAUUGGCCCAGCAUUGUCCGGGUUAGGGUUUGGCUGGGGUAGGCCGUCAUUUUAAAUAAUAAUUUGUUCUUAACUGACUUGCCUAGUUAAAUAAAGGUGAAAUCAUUUUUUUAUUUUUUUAUGUCCCACUCAUAAAUGUCCUCCCUGUUAGGCAACAUUAGUUGUAUAUAAAAUUUACAAUAUUUCAAAAUGUUAAAAUAUCCUGUUCAAGUGUUCACCAUUAUGACGCUCAAUCUUACUCACUCAAAGAGCUAUGGCUAAUUUAGGCUCCAAAAAAUGCACAAAUAAAAUUGCAAACAUCACCAAAACAUGGAGUUUCACAGAGCAACUAUCAUCAUUACUGCCGUUACGCAUGGUGUGUACUUCCAAGAAAUGGCUAAAUAAAAUCAAUGAUCUUUCGGGAUACUGUACUGCUGCUGGAUCAGCCUACCUGUGUGUAGCAAUAAUAAUGAGUGAUUUUAUUGGCGAUACCGAAUGUUGAUUUGGCUCAAGCGCACCUGGUCAGAAACAAUAGAUCAUUUUAUUUAGACCUUUUUUUGGAAGUACAUACCCUGCGUAAUGGCAGUAUUGACUGUAGUUGCUCUGUGAAACUACAUAUUUUUGUGAGUACCAAAUGUAUUUUGACAUUAUAACAAUUGCAGAGCUGGUUAAUGGGACUUUGAAUUGAAGGAUUAUGGGCAUCAGAGGAGAUCUCUUCUCCUGUGUUUGGUGCUGACAGAGAAGGACGCCUCGCUUCGCGUUCUUAGGAAACUAUGCAGUAUUACCCCAGGAAAUCUUAAGUCUAAUUACAUACAGCCGGGGGCAACUAUUGGAUAUAAGAGCAACGUCAACUUACCAACAUUACGACCAGGAAUACGACUUUCCCGAAGUGGAUCCUCUGCUUGGACCACCACCCAGGACAAUGGAUCGGAUCCCAGUAGGCGACCCAAAACAACGACGGAGCGGUCUUCUGGUCAGGCUCCAUAGACGGGCACGUCGCUCACCGCUCCCGAGUAUACUACUCGCCAAUGUCCAGUCUCUUGACAAUAAGGUAAACAAAAUUCAAGCAAGGGUUGCCUUCCAGAGAGACAUCAGAGAUUGUUACAUUCUCUGUUUCACGGAAACAUGGCUCACUCGGUAUACGUUAUCAGAGUCGGUACAACCACCCGGUUUCUUCACGCAUCGCGCCGACAGAAACAAUCAUCUCUCUGGUAAGAAGAAGGGCGGGGGUGUAUGCCUUAUGAUUAACGAGUUGUGGUGUGAUCAUAACAACAUACAGGAACUCAAGUCAUUUUGUUCACCUGACCUAGAAUUCCUUACGAUCAAAUGCCGACCGCAUUUUCUACCAAGAGAAUUCUCUUCGAUUAUAAUCACAGCCGUGUAUACUCCCCCCCCAAGCAGACACCUCGGCCCUGAAAGAACUUCAUUGGACUCUAUGUAAACUGGAAACAACAUAUCCUGAGGCUGCAUUUAUUGUAGCUGGGGAUUUUAACAAAGCUAAUCUGAAAACAAGGCUCCCUAAAUUUUAUCAGCAUAUUGAAUGCACGACCCGGGCUGGCAGCAUUCUGGAUCACUGCUACUCUAACUUCCACAAUGCAUACAAAGCCCUCUCUCGCCCUCCUUUCGGCAAAUCUGACCACGACUCCAUUUUGUUACUCCCAGCCUAUAGACAGAAACUAAAACAGGAAACGCCCGUGCUCAGGUCUGUUCAACGCUAGUCCGACCAAUCUGAUUCCACGCUUCAAGAUUGCUUGGAUCACGUGGACUGGGAUAUGUUCCGGAUAACCUCAGACAACAACAUUGAUGUAUACACUGAUUCGGUGAGCGAGUUUAUUAGCAAGUGCAUCGGUGAUGUUGUACCCAUGGUGACUAUUAAAACCUUCCCCAACCAGAAACUGUGGAUUGAUGGCAGCAUUUGCGCAAAAGUGAAAGUGCGAACCACUGCUUUUAAUCAUGGCAAGGCGACCGGAAACAUGAUCGAAUUCAAACAGUGUAGCUAUUCCUUCCUCAAGGCAAUCAAACAGGCUAAGCAUCAGUAUAGAGACAAAGCAGAGUCGCAAUUCAACGGCUCAGACACGAGACAUAUGUGGCAGGGUCUACAGUCAAUCACGGAUUACAAAAAGAAAACCAGCCCCGUUGCAGACACCGACGUCUUGCUCCCAGACAAACUAAACAACUUCUUUGCUCGCUUUAAGGACAAUACAGUGCCACUGACAUGGCCCACUAACAAAACUUGCGGCUGUCCUUCACCGCAGCCAACCUGAGUAAAAUAUUUAAACGUGUUAACCCUCACAAGGCAUCCCUAGCCGUGUCCUCAGAGUAUGUGCAGACCAACUGGCUGGCGUGUUUACGGACAUAUUCAAUCAAUCCCUAUCCCAGUCUGCUGUUCCCACAUGCUUCAAGAGGGAAACCAUUGUUCCUGUUCCCAAGAAAGCUAAGGUAACUGAGCUAAAUGACUAUCGCCCCGUAGCACUCACUUCCGUCAUCAUGAAGUGCUUUGAGAGACUAGUCAAGGAUCAUAUCACCUCCACCCUACUGGACACCCUAGACCCACUCCAAUUUGCUUACCGCCCCAAUAGAGCCACAGACGACGCAAUCACACUGCACACUGCCCUAACCCAUCUGGACAAGAGGAAUACCUAUGUAAGAAUGCUGUUCAUCGAUUACAGCUCAGCAUUUAACACCAUAGUACCCUCCAAACUUGUCAUUAAGCUUGAGACCCUGGGUCUCGACCCCGCCCUGUGCAACUGAGUCCUGGCCUUUCUGACAGGCCGCCCCAGGUGGUGAGGGUAGGAAACAACAUCUCCACCCCGCUGAUCCUCAACACUGGGGCCCCACAAGGGAGCGUUCUCAGCCCUCUCCUGUACUCCCUGUUCACCCAUGACUGCGUGGCCAUGCACGCCUCCCAACUCAAUCAUCAAGUUUUCAGAUGACACUACAGUGGUGGGCUUGAUUACCACCAACAACGACGAGACGGCCUACAGGGAGGAGGUGAGGGCCCUCGGAGUGUGGUGUCAGGAAAAUAACCUCACACUCAACGUCAACAAAAGAUGAUCGUGGACUUCAGGAAACAGCAGAGGGAGCCCCCCCCCACCCCCCAUUCCACAUCGAUGGGACAGUAGUGAAGAAGGUGGAAAGUUUUAAGUUCGUCGGCGUACACAUCACGGAUAAACUGAAAUGGUCCACCCACACAGACAGCGUGGUGAAGAAGGCGCAACAGCGGCUCUUCAACCUCAGGAGGCUGAAGAAAUUUGGCUUGUCACCGAAAACACUCGCAAACUUUUACAGAUGCACAAAUGAGAACAUCCUGUCAGGCUGUAUCACCGCCUGGUACGGCAACUGCUCCGCCCACAACCGUAAGGCUCUCCAGAGUAGAGGUCGACCGAUUAAUCGGAAUUGCCGAUUUUAAUUAUGGCCGAUUUGAAGUUUUCAUAACAAUCGGUAAUCGGAAUUUUUGGCCACCUAUUUGCCGAUUUGUAAUUAAAUGUUUUUAUUUAUUAUUAUAAUUUUUUUAAUAAAUAUUUUUUAACUAGGCAAGUCAGUUAAGAACACAUUCUUAUUUUCAAUGACGGCCUAGGAACGGUGGGUUAACUGCCUUGUUCAGGGGCAGAACGACAGAUUUUUACCUUGUCAGCUUGGGGAUUCAAUCUUGCAACCUUACGGUUAACUAGUCCAACGCUCUAACCAUCUGCUUUAUAUUGCACUCCAUGAGGAGCCUGCCUGUCACGCGAAUGCAGUAAGAAGCCAAGGUAAGUUGCUAGCUAGCAUUAAACUUAUCUUAUAAAAAACAAUCAAUCAAUCAUAAUCACUAGUUAACUACACAUGGUUGAGGAUAUUACUAGUUUAUCUAGCCUGUCCUGCAUUGCAUAUAAUCGAUGCGGUGCGCAUUCGCGUAAAAGGACUGUCGUUGCUCCAACUUGUACCUAACCAUAAACAUCAAUGUCUUUCUUAAAAUCAAUACACAAGUAUAUAUUUUUAAACCUGUAUAUUUAGUUAAUAUUGCCUGCUAACAUUAAUUUCUUUAACUAGGGAAAAUGUGUCACCUCUGCAACAGAGUCAGGGUAUAUGCAGCAGUUUGGGCCGCCUGGCUCGUUGCGAACUAAUUUGCCAGAAUUUUACGUAAUUAUGACAUAACAUUGAAGGUUUUGCAAUGUAACAGGAAUAUUUAGACUUAUGGAUGCCACCCGUUAGAUAAAAUACGGAACGGUUCCGUAUUUCACUGAAAUAAUAAAUGUGAUAGUUUCUGGAUUCUACCAUAUUAAUGACCUAAGGCUCGUGUUUCUGUGUGUUAUUAUGUUAUAAUUAAGUCUAUGAUUUGAUAGAGCAGUCUGACUGAGCGAUGGUAGGCACCAGCAGGCUCGUAAGCAUUCAAUCAAACAGCACUUUAGUGCGUUUUGCCAGCAGCUCUUCGCAAUGCAUUGCACUGUUUAUGACUUCAAGCCUAUCAACUCCCAAGAUUAGACUGGUGUAACUGAUAUGAAGUGGCUAGCUAGUUAGCCGGGUGCGUGCUAAUAGCGUUUCAAACGUCACUCGCUCUGAGACUUGGAGUAAUUGUUCCCCUUGCUCUGCAUGGAUAACGCUGCUUCGAGGGUGGCUGUUGUCGAUGUGUUCCUGAUUUGAACCCAGGUAGGAGCGAGGAGAGUGACGGAAGCUAUACUAUUACACUGGCAAUACUAAAGUGCCUAUAAGAACAUCCAAUAGUCAAAGGUAUAUGAAAUACAAAUCGUAUAGAGAGAAAUAGUCCUAUAAUUCCGAAAAUAACUACAACCUAAAACUUCUUACCUGGGAAUAUUGAAGACUCAUGUUAAAAGGAACCACCAGCUUUCAUAUGUUCUCAUGUUCUGAGCAAGGAACUUAAACGUUAGCUUUCUUACAUGGCACAUAAUGCACUUUUACUUCCUUCUCCAACACUUUGUUUUUGCAUUAUUUAAACCAAAUUGAACAUGUUUCAUUAUUUAUUUGAGGCUAAAUUGAUUUUAUUGAUGUAUUAUAUUCAGUUAAAAUAAGUGUUCAUUCAGUAUUGUUGUAAUUGUCAUUAUUACAAAUACAUUUUAAAAAAUCAGCCGAUUAAUCGGUAGCGGCUUUUUUUGGUCCUCCAAUAAUCGGUAUCGGCGUUGAAAAAUCAUAAUCGGUCGACCUCUACUCCAGAGGGUAGUGAAGUCUGCACAACGCAUCACCGUGGGCAAACUACCUGCCCUCCAGGACACCUACACCAUGUCACAGGAAUGCCAAAAAGAUCAUCAAGGACAACAACCACCCAAGCCACUGCCUGUUCACCCCGCUAUCAUCCAGAAGGCGAGGUCAGUACAGGUGCAUCAAAGCUGGGACCGAGAGACUGAAAAACAGCUUCUAGCUCAAGGCCAUCAGACUGUUAAACAGCCGUCACUAACAUUGACUGGCUGCUGCCAACAUACUGACUCAAAUCUCUAGCCACUUUAAUAAUAACAAAUUGGAUGUAAUAAAUGUAUCACUAGUCACUUUAUUACAAUGCCACUUUAUAUAAUGUUUACAUACCCUACAUUACUCAUCUCAUGUAUAUACUGUACUCGAUACCACCUACUGCAUCUCGCCUAUGCCGCAAGGCCAUCAUCAUCCAUAUGUACAUAUUCUUAUUAAUUCCUUUACACUUGUCUGUAUAAGGGAGUUGUGAAAUUGUUAGAUUACUUGUUAGAUAUUACUGCACGGUCGGAACUAGAAGCACAAGCAUUUCGCUACACUCGCAUUAACAUCUGCUAACCAUGUGUAUGUGACCAAUAACAUUUGAUUUGAAGCGUUUCGUUAGCUUGAUCCCAGAUAUGUUUAUGCCAUUUUGUCAACCAUAGGAGUUGGCUGUCUGUACAGCACCAACUGAUCUGCGACCAGGGCUAGUGUUUUGUUGUCCUAGCCUAGGAGUUUUGUAUGGCGUCUGCUUUGGGUGUUUGAUCAUGCUGUGAUAAGACAUGCUGCUGUACACUGACAGAUGAAUUUUAAGUAUAAAGGCCAUUGUGUGAUUAGAUAUUUGUAGAUGGGAGAAAUACGAUCAAGAUUUUUCAUUCACCAUCACAUUGAUUUCAGCUUCUUGCACUUGUUGAUUGUAUGUAUUCAGUGUUCGAUGGUACACAAGGCAAUUGUGUGGUUCAUCCACUAUGGGGUGAAUCCUAACUUGCUCUUAAGUAAAAAAAUGUGUUUGUCUCCCAUUGACAUCAAUGCAUAACUACGUGGAAGUUAGGAUUUGCCCCAAAGUAAUUGCCUUAAAUAGCAGUCUAUGUACUCAAAGGGAUCUGUUCACUGUCAGGAAUUGUGUUUUGAAAAGGAACAAAUGCUUCUAGAUGCACAGUAAUUCAAUUAUAUAAUAAUAAACGGCAGUUAUGUGCCUCAUCACAGAAAUGAAUACUUGGAACCACUUUGAUAAAAAGGGAAUGUGUCAAUUCUUCAGCUGUAUUCACAUUGAUUCUGUCAUGAUUUUAUAAUAAAACUGUUCUUU